ensembl:lncRNA
AUGACUUUAAUUCUUACACAUUUUUGUCAUGUUCUUACCAGUUUGAAGUUCAUUUUUCUUUUUUUUCUUUCUUUUUUUCUUCCUUCCUUCCUUUCUUUUUCUUCCUUUUUCUUUUUUCCUUCCUUCCUUCCUUCUUUCUUUCUUUCUUUCUUUCUUUCUUUCUUUCUUUCUUUCUUUCUUUCUUUCUUUCUUAUUUUCCUUCUUUCUCUCUCUCUCUCUCUCUCUCUCUCUCUCUCUCUCUCUCUCUCUCUCUCUCUCUCUCUCUCUCUCUCCCUUCCUUCCUUCCUUCCUUCCUUCCUUCCUUUCUUUCUUUCUUUCUUUCUUUCUUUCUUUCUUUCUUUCUUUCUUUCUUUCUUUCUUUCUUUCUUUCUUAUUUUCCUUCUUUCUUUCUCUCUCUCUCUCUCUCUCUCUCUCUCUCUCUCUCUCUCCCUUCCUUCCUUCCUUCCUUUCUUUCUUUCUUUCUUUCUUUCUUUCUUUCUUUCUUUCUUUCUUUCUUUCUUUCUUUCUUUCUUUCUCUCACUCAUCCUUUUUAUCUUCUCUUUAUUUCUUUAUAUAUGUCCACUAUUUUACCACAUUACAGUUUUUAAAAUGGUUUUCACAUAUAUUUUCCACCCGAUGUAUUGAUCUUGUAUCUAUCCAUACAAUUAAAAGAUAAAAUUCUUCUCUACUUCAUCAUGUUCUUUAUGCAGAUUUGUUCAUUCUUUCCUCAGUUUCUGAAGGUAUGUAUCUCUAGCAUGCAGAAUAUUUAAAGUCUAUGCAAUUUUUUUCUCAAAACUUCUUUCAGUCCUUGGAACUCAAUAGAAUAUCUGGACAAAUGUCUUAAUGCUUCUUUCCCUACCCUCCUUCUUGGCCUGAAGUUGAAUACAGCCUCGAAAUAUUUGGCAAACAUAUAUCGUCCAUUCUCAGAAGCAUAAUGCAGAGAACGUAGCAAAUAAUGGAGCUUCUAGUCUUCAGAGCCAUUAAGGCUGAUUAAAAUAGGCUAUUUGUGCCCAUAGUGCAAGUUUGUUUGUUUUGAAGCAUUCAUAUUGUAACAAAAAUAUCCAAGCCGGGCUUGACUGUUGCCAUGGCAUCAGCCACAUCUCUUGGUAUAUGGUGGCUACAGUGAGGGAUUAGAUGGAUUCUGCAGCAUAUGUAAGAAGAAGAUUAGGCAAAGAAGUGUAUACACAUAUAUGUAUAUAUUUCUAUUUGUAUAUAAAUGUAGACAUACACACAUACAUACAUAUGUAUAUAUAUAUGCAUAUAUAUAUAUACAUCUCUUUGUAUAUAUUCCUCACAUGCCCUGGUUCCACUGAUAAUGUGGUCAAAUAGAUGAUGAGUCUGUUUCUUGAAAAUAUGUACUGGGGAGCAGCUUUUGCGCAUUCCUAUUUACUCAUUCUUCUGCCAGUAGAGGUGAUGGGAAUCAAACAAACAGCGAAAUGGCAAAAGUCAUAGACAGCAUUUCCUAUUUUCAAAUGAAUUUCAGGAAUAUAUUUUAUCAUUUUUCUACUUCUCCUUUCAUUGUUUACCUACAUUUCCUUUGUUAAAAUUCUCUUUUGUUCCUCUGUUGCAUUUUUCAUAUCCAGGGCCUCAGCCCUGGAUAUAGAGAAUAUUCUCUAUAAGACUUUGAAGAAUUUGGUCUUGAAAUGCACAAUGGCAAUUCUGGAUGUCUUGUUCUUUGGUCAAUCUAGGGUUCUGGAACCUAAAGAAAGAAUGUUCCUAUUUCUCACACAUAAACUCAAUUAACAUUAACUGGUUAAUAGAGAGCAAAAGACUAAACCUUGAAUACUGCAUUGCCUUAAAGCAUCCCUGCAAACACUUACUACUGUAGGUCACUCUAGCUAAAAUCACUCAGCUCUUAAAAAUGCUGGCAAUUUUGGUAAAGAAUUUUAUUACAUUUUAAUGAGGCUUUAACUCAUUGCACUGCUACCUCGUUUUCCCUCUUUGUUGUUUGAUAGGGGCUAGUGUGAGGGAAACUGACUGGUUUUUUACAGCCCACAAGAUUUUCUGCAUUACCACAAGAAUGCCCCUUUCUACAUUUUCUGUCCCAACCCAACAGAUAGGAAACUAGAGGAAUAUGAAGUCUAAAAAGCUGCCCAUUUCCCCAGACUUGCUAAUGUGAGGGUCUCAGAUCCACCAAUGGUUUAUAUCUUGGCACAGUACUGCCCCUGUGCCCAAAAAAGCUCCCUGCAGUGUAUGCAAUGCUAUAAAAUCUCUCUGCUUAUGUUCACCUUCCAUUGAGGUACUUAUAUGUUGAGGUGAUGUUUUCUCCAGAGGAACACGCCAUGCAUACAUUGUUCUAUGCAUUUGUUUCUGGGGAGGGGUCGUCUUUUGAUCAUGUUUCCCAGGACAAAAUUGCCUUCUUGGAGCACUGGGAAAGCAGCUGUGCCAUUGCCCCCAUAGUAUACUGUUCCUCUUAGCUUAUUCACGUGGCGAGAAGGAUUUGUAACCUUGAUUCUCUAAUUUUCGGUACUUAUGGUCAGAGAGAAUGGCAUUUUCUACUUGGAUGCAAACCAAUCAUUUAUCUGGACACCCCUGAAAGGACUUAAUUUGCUCCAACUAGUCAGUAUUCUGGCUUCGUUAAAGGAUCCCAGACUCAGACUUGGCCUUGGUCUCAUAAUGCAUGUUCUGCCCUCUCCUUCUGGGACCGUGGCCACCACUCCCUUCCCCAAAUUCUCAGAGUAAGAAGUGGCCACCCCUUCUUCAGCUGCCCCCUCCCUUUGAAUUCUGCUUUAUUAUUAUGCACAUCAGCCUUCCUCAGCUGGAGGUGAGCCCCCCAUCCCUCCAUGUGAAUAAAACACACUUCACUAAAAUAAAUAAUAAGCA